GAAUAAACAUGUUUGGAAAGCAACAAAUAAGAUUACAAAUUGCAUCGCAUCAGCAGAAUCGUUUACUGUAGAGGACGGUGGUCUUGAUUAUGAUUCCCCUGGGGUGACUGCCUUUAUCAAUCAUGUUGUUGCCUGAAGAUGCACAUAGAGAUGCUCCUCAGUACAGCAGCAUGUCCUGAAGGAGCGUCCUGAUCUGCAAGUUUUAAACUCUGAAUGGAAGAUUAAUGUGUCAUAUACGAAUAC
rnacentral:lncRNA from 1 species